rnacentral:rRNA from 1 species
UACGGGAGGCAGCAGUGGGGAAUAUUGGACAAUGGACCAAGAGUCUGAUCCAGCAAUUCUGUGUGCACGAUGACGUUUUUCGGAAUGUAAAGUGCUUUCAGUUGGGAAGAAAAAAAUGACGGUACCAACAGAAGAAAGUGACGGCUAAAUACGUGCCAGCAGCCGCGGUAAU